rnacentral:piRNA from 1 species
UGCCAAUGGGAGCGUAACAAGUUGCAGUGC